GUGUGUGUGUGUGUGUGAGAGAGAUCACCGUAGCCCGGGCUUGCCGAAGCUCCUCUUCCCCCGCCCUCCAUCUCCAUGUUGCUGCUCUGCAAGGCCACCACAGCUCUCAUGUUCCAUGCUUUGCUUUCUUCAUGGUGUACUCGUUUUUUGUCAUGUGGGUAAAAGCAAAGUAUUUAGGUUGGGUACUUUGAAGGGAUAUGGAAAUAUAUAUAUAUAUAUAUAUAUAUAUAUAGGUUUUUGUAUAUUGAUUUCUUUCCAAAUUUGUUUAAGAAUGUAACUUUGUUUUACU
rnacentral:lncRNA from 1 species